ensembl:lncRNA
GUGGAGGGUGUAUGGAGAGAUAAUAGAGGUGGUGUUAGUGGUGGUGGAGGGUGUAUGGAGAGAUAAUAGAGGUGGUGUUAGUGGUGGUGGAGGGUGUAUGGAGAGAUAAUAGAGGUGGUGUUAGUGGUGGUGGAGGGUGUAUGGAGAGAUAAUAGAGGUGGUGUUAGUGGUGGAGGGUGUAUGGAGAGAUAAUAGAGGUGGUGUUAGUGGUGGUGGAGGGUGUAUGGAGAGAUAAUAGAGGUGGUGUUAGUGGUGGUGGAGGGUGUAUGGAGAGAUAAUAGAGGUGGUGUUAGUGGUGGUGGAGGGUGUAUGGAGAGAUAAUAGAGGUGGUGUUAGUGGUGGAGGGUGUAUGGAGAGAUAAUAGAGGUGGUGUUAGUGGUGGUGCAGGGUGUAUGGAGAGAUAAUAGAGGUGGUGUUAGUGGUGGUGCAGGGUGUAUGGAGAGAUAAUAGAGGUGGUGUUAGUGGUGGUGGAGGGUGUAUGGAGAGAUAAUAGAGGUGGUGUUAGUGGUGGAGGGUGUAUGGAGAGAUAAUAGAGGUGGUGUUAGUGGUGGUGGAGGGUGUAUGGAGAGAUAAUAGAGGUGGUGUUAGUGGUGGUGGAGGGUGUAUGGAGAGAUAAUAGAGGUGGUGUUAGUGGUGGAGGGUGUAUGGAGAGAUAAUAGAGGUGGUGUUAGUGGUGGUGGAGGGUGUAUGGAGAGAUAAUAGAGGUGGUGUUAGUGGUGGUGGAGGGUGUAUGGAGAGAUAAUAGAGGUGGUGUUAGUGGUGGUGGAGGGUGUAUGGAGAGAUAAUAGAGGUGGUGUUAGUGGUG